GGAGCUUCCCUACUCAGAACUCGAGCUGGUUCCUGCUUCACUGAUCAAGAAGAGUGCGUGCCGGUUGAUUUUAUCUUUUGCAGGCUUACGGAAAGGAUCGAUAAUCGUUUGGGAGUGUGAUGGGGUUCUUGGAUUACGUCGCCGAUGUUUGCUACGUGCCUCGCAACGACAGCAGGAAGCUCAGGAAGCGCAAGCAGCUCCAGACGGUGGAGAUAAAGAUAAAGAUGGACUGCGAGGGGUGCGUGAGGAGGGUGCGGAAGUCGGUGGAGGGCAUGAAGGGGGUGACCCAGGUGGAGGUCGAGCCCAAGCAGAGCAAGCUGACCGUGGUUGGCUACGUCGACCCGGGGAAGGUGCUCCGACGGGUCCGGCACCGCACCGGCAAGGUCUGCGACUUCUGGCCCUACGUGCCCUACGACGUGGUGGACCACCCCUAUGCCCCUGGCGCCUACGACAAGAAGGCCCCGCCGGGGUACGUCCGGAAUGUGCUCCAGGACCCGCAGGCCUCAGCCCUCGCCCGCGCCAGCUCCACCGAGGUCACGUACACCACCGCCUUCAGCGACGACAACCCUAAUGCGUGUGUAGUCAUGUAGAUAACAGGAGUGGAGAUUCGUGUGUAUGUAUUUUGCUGGUAUGUAUGUGCAGGGGUUUGUGUGAUUAUUUGGAAGUGGAGGAGUGUUGGACUGUGUUAUGAACUUGGAAGAGUCUGGGGUCUGAAGUUUGUGGGGUCUGAAGCUUUGUCAGCUAGAGAAAAGAAAAGAAGAAAUUGUAAUGACUAUUCUAGAUUGGUAAGGAGAAUUUGCGUCUUCUGUUUGACUGUGCCAA